rnacentral:lncRNA from 1 species
CUUCUCCCACUAGGCACUCCAUGUUCCCUUUUCCAACAGCAAGCACCUCAGAUGGUCAUCGUUGUUUGCCUGGGGGAGUGAUCCAAACCCUUAUUUCUGAAGAGUCUGGGCCACUAUCAGAACCCAUGAAUCCUGGCUAUGGGGGAAGCAGUACCAUAUGCUAGAUGCAAACUUACAGCACAUCCAACCUCCCGGAGGAAAAUGCUUCAGUCCUGGAAGGAAGUAGUAGAGCAAUAGAUGUGUACCUGUACCUGAGGUGGACAGCCUGUAUAAUCAAAGAACUGGACCAACAGAAUGAGGCGCUAGGCCACAUGAAGCUAAGGUAGUCAUCCAAUUCUAAGACUCGAAACAAGAAGCAGAAGUCACUUAUAUGCACACAGCCUUCCAUUCUGCAUGAGAAAAUAAACACCAAACCAUCAGCAACUGGUAUGUACUUUUCAGUCAUAUAUUUGGCUACAUCUGUUCCAUGCCUAUUUCAACAGUCCCUCAAGCUGUAAUUUGCCUUCACUUUUGAUGGAAUGCAACAUACCUUUACCUGGUUUCUUAGGUACACUCCUUUGUUGGUGGCAGAAAGAUUAAACCAUGCAAGCCUUGGAUCAUGCAGGGAAACGUCACUUUAGCCCCUAGCCACCAUCAUAAAACCCAAGACAGUCUCCAUUCCCUGCUCUCUCAACCAUUUUCAGACCUGCUUGAGAAUCUGUUUUCCCCAGGAAUCUUCAAUCCAUGAUGAAUAAAAAUUUUCAUACUCUCCUGGCUUGUGUGUGUGGUACCAUCAGUCAUGAUAUCUGAGCCAAGUUUUGUGUGGGGAGUCCACUCACUACUAUGGGGUGAUUACAACAGCAUAUAGUCCUAAUUGACAGCUAUGUACCUUCUAUGUACUGAAGAUACUAUUCCACUCUCUUAAC